rnacentral:rRNA from 1 species
UACGUAGGGGGCAAGCGUUGUCCGGAUUUAUUGGGCGUAAAGAGCUCGUAGGCGGUUCAGCAAGUCGAAUGUGAAAACUCCAGGCUUAACCUGGAGACGCCAUUCGAUACUGCUGUGACUUGAGUCUGGUAGGGGAGCACGGAAUUCCUGGUGUAGCGGUGGAAUGCGCAGAUAUCAGGAGGAACACCGGUGGCGAAGGCGGUGCUCUGGGCCAGAACUGACGCUGAGGAGCGAAAGCGUGGGUAGCAAACAGG